rnacentral:rRNA from 1 species
AUCCUACGGGGGGCAGCAGUGGGGAAUAUUGCACAAUGGGGGAAACCCUGAUGCAGCGACGCCGCGUGAGUGAAGAAGUAUUUCGGUAUGUAAAGCUCUAUCAGCAGGGAAGAAAAUGACGGUACCUGAAUAAGAAGCCCCGGCUAACUACGUGCCAGCAGCCGCGGUGAUACGUAGGGGGCAAGCGUUAUCCGGAUUUACUGGGGGUAAAGGGAGCGUAGACGGCCAGACAAGUCAGACGUGAAAGCCCAGGGCUCAACCCUGGGACUGCUGUUGAAACUGCCGGGCUGGAGUGCAGGAGGGGG